rnacentral:lncRNA from 1 species
UACACAUCCCAAAUGUAGGAGUCUAGGGAUAAGCUAAACAGCCAAGACUGGAGCAGUCUCUCACCUUGACCAGAAGCAGUUUUCGCAAGUGAUGCUUUGAGAAGCACGUUCUCCUCUCUCAGGGCUCUGUUAAUGUUCCUGAGCGGUUCCGUCUCCUGCUCUAGCUUGAGCAGCUUCAGAUAAAGUUCUGGUAUCUGGUUUGAUGCUGCCUACCAGAAAACAUGUCAGUUUCGUCUUUUGUUGUAUCAUCUGCAUAUCCUUUGAGACUGGCAAUGUUUGCUACCAUGGGAAAAUCAAAUGGGAUGGGAGUGUGUGUAUGGUGAGCAGAGUUUAAGCCCCUCAGGGUACACAGGAGUAAAUAAAGAAAACGUUUGUUAAGGGGGAAGGAACGUCAAGCAGCCGUCCUCAGAGAUUUUCUAGCCACCUGGGAUGCCCACUUUAGUGUCCUAUGUACACACCUGGCUUAUAUCCUUCACAGUGGAAAUUUUCUUGGUGUCUACCAGGAUGUGGCCUUCACCUGUGACCAUGAGGCCCAGCUGAGAGCAGCUCAGCUCGGUGCAGCCUUCUGUAAUGGGGAGAGACACAGUCAAAGAAAGAAACAUCCCAGUCGCCCAGCUCCAGUGUCAGCUUCAUGCAGUAGGCCAGCGACUGGAGCCAGAUGUGAGCUGAGCCCAAGCGGACGACCUCGACAGGAUCCCAGAAAGGGUCGUCAUCUCGAGCCACAGGGCCGUGAUCUCCAUCUAGAAAGCGCUGGUAAAGUUCCUGCAUUAGGAAUUUCCUAUUGAUGAACUUGGCUUUUGACCAUAUCCACACCUGGAAACACAGAGGGGUCCACACCCAGUGCACAGCAGAUCCAGGACAACAGCCUGCCGCUGUCUUCCUCCUCACUGGGUGAGGACAGGGCCUCUGUCAGCACUGGCUCUGGAGAGGAAACAAACCUGAAGCCACAGGAGGAGGGAUUCCAGAGGGAUUCCAGGAAAGCAGAGAGACACAGUGUGAAAUCGCUGCUCUCAGAUCAGCACACGGGAGAGGCCAGCAGUCAGGAGGGGGCUCACCGAGUUUGUCUGCACUCGCUCCCUCCGCAGCCGCCCUCUCCAGCUGGAAGAAGUCGUAAUCGAACCUGCUCAGGUCCUCACUGCCCCACUCCGAAGGAAACCCCACGUACAGGUGAGGUCAGAGGAGUGAAGUGACUUGCCCAAGACCACACAGUGAGUCAGGAGCAGGCCUGUCCCUCCAGCAGUGGUGCCAUGUUGUCCCCAAGCCAUGGUGGCAGAGGAGCUGGUGUGAACGCCCCAUCCUGCCACGUCUGUGAUGUGGGCACCUCACAUGACUGUCCCCUCCCAGCUCUUGGGGGGGACCUAGGACAUUCUGUGAGCCUGCAGGAAAGUUUACCAAAUGCUGCAGCUUUGUCCUGGUGGUGAUGGGCACCCCGUUAACGGCAACCUUGCAUUUGCUAUGUGGAGUGACCGUCACUUUACCGUCGGCAUUUGUGAAGGAAGCGUGUUUAUCUGAAAUUCUAAGAAGAUGAGAGUCAAAGACACCCAGCAAACGGCGGUUUCCGUGAGCAGGUAGGCUGACCUUUCUCAUGUGCACAGGAGGGAAGGUCUACAGCUGCGGAGGAUGGCAGGUGGCAUCUCGGGGCCUCCUGUGUGCUGUGGCCCAUGAUGCAUGGGGACAGCAGCGGGCGCAGAAGGACCCUGCCCUUGGGGAGCACGGGGAGCUGGGAGACAGCAGGCAAGGGCUUCAUUAACAGAACGAACACCAGCUGAGGGCCUAGCACUGCGGGGAGCCGGCCAAGGCCACACUGGAGUCCUCCCGCUCCCAGGCCAGCGGGAUGGGGUGGUGGGAAGAUGGCAGCAAGCAAGCUUCAGAAGAGACGCUCAGGAGGCGACUCUUAACGAGCCUCACCUACUCCGGGUACGUUUUGAUCUGUUUCUGCGCCCUCGCCGUAUAAAUUCAGACCUUAUAGGAUUUGGGGCUGGACGUCGGGGUGUCAGGUUGGCAUCCCCUCUCCCCGCCCUGCUCCCCUGCACCGAUGUCAUCUGUGUGUCCUGAAUGACUGGCUCCCUGCCUUAGCAUGUUCCAUGUUCCUGCACUCCUUGGCCAUCAUGGAAUGUUCUGGAUGUGGAGACCCGUGUGCAUCCAAACCCUUUUUUGCAUGGGGCCCAGGGAUCCUGUGGGAAAGGUUGCGGCCUCAUCACUGGAGUUCAGACAUUUACGCACCUGUGCGUUGGACUAAGGACGUGUUCUGGAAAGGGACUUGAGGGGGAUCCCCAGGAAGAUGUCCCAAGAAGGAGGCUGGCAGUGCAGGACGAGGCGGGGCCAGCCGGCCCCUGGGUCAGCACCCCUCCAGCCACGACGGCCCGUGGGCUUUCGUACGGGGGCAGGGGGUGAUCUGUCUGAAGGAUGUAGGUGAUGGUGCUUCCCAGCUGGAGAGCUGGAAGCAGGAGGAGGACACUCCAGCAGCAGCCUCCCAGGCAGGGCAGCCACAGAGCUGGGGACAGCUCUUGACUGGGUGAGGCCCGGCAUGGGGUUUCCCAGGGCUCCUGCGGGGCCUCCUGAGGGAGCCCUUGGGGUCACUCCACAGUCUGGGCUUUCUGUAGUCCGGUGGGUCAGGGCUCCAAGCACCAGGAGAGAUCCAGGGAUGCGCUUAUGUUUGGGCCACCCCCGGUGGGCUUGUUCGUUCAGCCCCCUUCGUUUCCUGGCCUGCUCUACUUAUAUCUGUUUGUGAAGAAUUAUUACACAGAAUCUAGAAACCAGCUUUCCCUUUUCUCCCAGGGUUGGAGCCCAGGAAGCAAACCAGCACUGCACCCUAGAUUUCAGCCAGAGGACGAAAGCCCUGCCCUCAGCUUUCUCAGACCAGCCCUGGAGUAGGUGGCCCGGGGAGACCUGGGCAGUGUCCCUGCUUGUCCUGCAGACUGUGUGGCUCUGCAGACCUCUAGAUGGAGGAGGCACAAUUCUCUAAUGCUGGACGAGGACACUGAUCAUGGAAACUCACCCCAAACCUUGAAUCGUGAUAGCAUUUGAGGCAGCCUGACCGGUGCCACAUGAACCUGAAAGGAAUCAAGAUAUAAUUUAUUUUGAAAAUAAAUCAGACACUUUCAGAAUUUGAGCGUAAGAAGUUAACAUGUCUGAUGCGUUGGAAGUGACGUUUUCUCUACAGUGGGAUGGUACUGAAGGGAUUU